rnacentral:lncRNA from 1 species
AGUAGUUGAUUAAGUUUAGAAGCUAAAUUUGAUCUUGUCUUGGCAUAUAGUAUCUUCAAUUUCUUCCCAAGUAAGUUAAUUUCUUUUACUUUGGUAAGUGAAGAUCUUGUAGCUUCGUGAAUAAAACUUUUGGCUUCAAGAAGUGUUGUAUGUUGAACUGGAGAUGUGAUUUCCUGCUUACACUAAUAUCAGAAUACAUGGAAGUUAAAUUAAC